rnacentral:sRNA from 12 species
CGCAGCGAGAAAGCGUUGCCGCAGGCAACGACCCGAAGGGCGAAGCGCGCAGCGCUGAGUCAUCCUUCCCCCACCACCA